AGUCGCUGCAGCAACGGUGGGCUGUACAACUCCCAUCGUCUGGCACCCGGCACACCCGCCGCUUGCCAACUCUCCCCCCGCGCAUACCUGGCUGCAGCGACUGACCCUUUCCUCCAGGGCGCAU
rnacentral:ncRNA from 16 species